rnacentral:rRNA from 1 species
UACAGAGGGUGCUAGCGUUGCUCGGAAUUACUGGGCGUAAAGGGAGCGUAGGCGGACAUUUAAGUCAGGGGUGAAAUCCCGAGGCUCAACCUCGGAACUGCCUUUGAUACUGGAUGUCUUGAGUGUGAGAGAGGUGAGUGGAACUCCGAGUGUAGAGGUGAAAUUCGUAGAUAUUCGGAAGAACACCAGUGGCGAAGGCGACUCACUGGCUCAUUACUGACGCUGAGGCUCGAAAGCGUGGGGAGCAAACAGG